ACGUAGAUACUGGGGGAGAGGGAUUGGAGCAAGACCACACUUGCUCUUAGGAGAUGCUUCUGUAUCAACGCCCAAUUUCCUUUUCUCAUCAGAGAGAUUUGAUCAAACAGCAAAGCUACUUAGUUUUGGGGAUGAAUUCAGAAAGAUAUUCAAGGGAGGAUUGACAAAGAACAAGCGGUUCUUUGCUUUGCUCAGCUCACCGGCAUUGGUUACAAUUCUGAGUUCAAUUGCGUCUGAAUUUGGUUUGAAUGUUGGAGCUUUUGGGAU